rnacentral:lncRNA from 1 species
UUUAAGACACAGCUGAAGGAAACAGGAAGACUACACGUCACAGUCUGAAUGACGCAUCCACACUGCAGGAAAAGAGGAGAAAAGAAACCUUUGGAAGGAAAAGUCAGAGCAGAGAGGUUAAACCGCUUUGAGAAAGGCCCCUACUUCGGAUCAACUCAUUAUCCCGAAUAAACGAUGUGUCAUUCCCAUUAUUUAUGUUUCACUGCAGCCAAAGUAUCUGGACCUCGUUUUGGUAAGCACCAUUCAUUUCGACCCAUUCAGUAUU